AGUCUGAACAUGUCUCACUCAGCCAUGACACCCAGGAGACAGGGCCUUCAGCUUGAUUCUGUAUUCCCCUUCCCCUGAUACAAUCACAUGUAAUAGAUGCAUGUGAAGCUAUGGGAAGAAAUGAGGUGGUUGAGAACAAGAGUGAAUGGUGAGAAGGAACCAGGACUGACCCCUGUAGGACACUAACAGUCAGAGGCCAGAGACAGGAGGCACAGUCAGCAAGGGAAGCCAAGAAGAAGUGAUGAAAGAAGUAGACAGAAAAUCAGGAGAACAGGACUCAGAAGUCAAGAGACAAAAGUGCUUCAGCCUGGAGGAUGAGGCCAGCAGGAUCAAAUGCUGCUGAGAGAAUUCACAUACGAAGCCGACUAAAAGAUACACAAUGGACUUGGCAACAGAAAGAUAAUUGGUGACUUUAGCAAACUUCCAUGUCCAUGAUCAGCUCCGUUCUCCUGGAAACCUGAUAAAGGUGGAACGUUGGCUGUGUUACCAAGCAACAAUGCUCAUGGUAAAAAUGAUCCACUUCAUCUGGACAGCGAGGGCCGUGAAUGAAUCAUAAGUACCUGGUGGGAAGCUGUGGCUCUGGAGUUCUGAAUCUUGACUCUUGGAGCUCGGCACGCCCCUUGAGGAGACAAGGAAGCUAUUCCCAUGAGACUCUUACUAGAAAUAUCAGUCUCUCAUUGGAAUAAGGCUUUAAUUUGCUGUUUAUGUGACAUUUCAGUUUACCCGGGUAUCCUGUAUUUUAUCUGGCAACCCUACUUGAGGAAAAGGAGCUAGAGAGACACCUGCCAUCACGCAGCUGGCGUGCUGUUUCAUGCCUUUGCAUCCUUAUUCUAAAUUAAGUUAGGCCAGGCAUGGUGGCUCACACCUAUAAUCCCAGCAUUUUGGGAGGCCGAGGCGGGUAGAUCACCUGAGAUCAGGAGUUCGAGAUCAGCUUGGCCAACAUGAUGAAACCCUGUCUCUACUAAAAAUACAAAAAAUCAGCUGGGCGUGGUGGCGGACUCCUGUAAUCCCAGAUUUUCGGGAGGCUGAGGCAAGAGAAUCUCUCAAAUACAGGAGGUGAAGGCUGCAGUGAGCCGAGAUUCACCAUUGCACUCCAGCCUGGGCAACAAGAACAAAACUCCAUCUCAAAAUAAGUAGUUAGUGCCAAGCAUGUCAUGCUGUAGUCAUGCGAGUCCUAGUGUCUAACAGACCCUGAGAAGAACUCCAAAGUGGGCAUUGUAACCUAGCAACAGUGACCAUCCUAGGAAGAAUAGCACCCCAGGAACCCAGAUUAUGUUCUGUAAGUACUAUUCUCCACGGAAAGGAAACAGCUCAUUCUAGUCUGGGGCAGCAAAGGUACGGAUGAACCUGGAACAUCCUGUCAUACCAGAAAGCGAGGAACAUAUUGAAGACCACUGUGCUCAUAUCAGAGGACUCAGGCACUUGCCUGGAAAGGCUGAGCUUUGCUCAUAGGAAGAGAUGGGGAGUGAGUGUGGGUAGACAUGUAACAAGAUUGGCUGAGCAGAAAAGCAGCAAGCCAAGCAUGCUGGGUUCCCAGAAGACCAACACUGUUUUGCAUACCAGUGAAACUAGUGACAUCGGCUGGUCUAAAGGACCCCAGAAGCAGUUGACUCAAAGAACGCAGUUUCCAUGUUUUGAUUUUCAUACCCCUUCCUCGAUCAAUCAACAACCACAAUUUUCUAGCCCCUUGCCCUUCAUAAUUCUCUUAAAAACCCCAGCCCAGAACUCCUCAGAGAUGGAUUUGAGGGUCUCCUUCCAUCUCCUUGCUCAGCC